UACGGGAGGCAGCAGUGGGGAAUAUUGCACAAUGGGCGAAAGCCUGAUGCAGCAACGCCGCUUGAGUGAUGAAGGCCUUCGGGUUGUAAAGCUCUGUUUUCUGGGACGAUAAUGACGGUACCAGAGGAGGAAGCCACGGCUAAUUACGUGCCAGCAGCCGCGGUAAUAAGUAGGUGGCAAGCGUUGUCCGGAUUUAUUGGGGGUAAAGGAUGGGUAGGCGGAUACUUAAGUCAGAUGUGAAAAUCCCGAGCUUAACUUGGGAACUGCAUUUGAAAAUGGGUAUCUAGAGUGCGGGAGAGGUAAGUGGAAUUCCUAGUGUAGCGGUGAAAUGCGUAGAGAUUAGGAAGAACACCAGUGGGGAAGGGGACUUACUGGACCGUAAUUGACGUUGAGGCAUGAAAGCGUGGGGAGCAAACAGGAUUAGAUACCCUGGUGGUCCACGCCGUAAACGAUGAAUACUAGGUGUGGGGGUUAUCAUGACUUCCGUGCCGCAGUAACGCAAUAAGUAUCCGC
rnacentral:rRNA from 1 species